UCGUAGACGUGGUAGACAGCCUUGAGUGGAUCAAGUUCCCACAGCCAGUGUUACGAAAGGUGUCCUUACUGCUGACCCACAUCUCUAACACCAAGAUCGGCGUCAAUGUGUUCGGCAUGUUUGUCCUGGACUACUCCACCCUAAUGAUGAUUUUCGGCACGGUCGCCACGUAUGGGGUGGUAGUCUUACAGUUCCAGCUGGACAAGACAAGCUCCAUAGCUCGCUGUCAGAACGGGACUUUUGUAUAAGAGGAAACUGACUCGCCCCAUCUGAGCGCCGCCUUGGGCUCAUCUGAGGCCUAUCUGGACAAGAGAAACUUCGUAGUACUAAGUUAAUUCUGUGAGAGAAAAACUGACCCCACUGAUUUGAGGCCCAUCUGAGGUCCUGCUGGACUGGGCAAGAGGGAUAUUGUCCGCUGUCGGAACGGAAUGUUCUUGUGAGAGAGAAUUGCCCUGCCCCUCGGAGGCAAAUCUGAGGCAUACCCAACGUGCGCUGGAAUCUGUAUAGAGUCUAGACAUGUUUUUAAAGACUCACUGUUUGGGCUUGGCGCCAGGAAUGGGUUGUCGAGGAUCAAACAGCUCCACUGGGGAAACAUGGUCGUCAGCAUAAACAUUUGUGACUCAUGAGGUGCACCUAACUGACAGUACUGGCGUCGGUAGCCUAGUGGUUAGGCUACUGGACUCGUAAUCGUGAGGUUGCGGGUUCGGCGGUUCGAACCUCAGCUCGGUCCGACGUUGUGUCCUUGGGAAAGACACUUUACAGGAACUUCCCACUUGGCUCGGUCCUAUCGGAGACGGACGUUAAACUAGGAGGUCCCGCCCCUUAAAUAACCUAGUAGUGUUGAUAGGGGCGUUAAACCCAUACAAUUUCAAAUUUCAUACAACUGACAGUGGACUUACACCCUUUUGCUGGGUAUUCUAAAAUUAAAUAUCUCUUCAAUUGGUUUUUGUUUG